CAUACCGUUUCAUUUGGUUGGCUAAUGCUGCGACCAUGGUUUGUCUGAACAUUUUCCAGGGUUGGAAGCUUUCUGAGAUGUUGUUUGCGACAUGCAGGAGCUUAUCUGAUGCUCGUACAACCGUAGCUAAACAGCUCGAGCAAGUUCAUUCAUCUUUAUCGGCAAGCUGCAAAGAAAUAUUUAUCUUCAAGAAUUGAGCAUGUAGAUAAGAACUUAGAUGAGUGUAAAAAGCUUACAGAUGAUACCAGAGAUGAGGUUGGAUUGAUUAGCUUUGUGAUAAAAUCAAGACUUGGUGGGGCUUUGAGUUAUUUGCAGAAGCUCAUGAUGAUAGAGCCUUUCUUUCAUAGGUUGCUCUGCUACGAGAAGAUCUGAGUGGGUUCAGUGUGGAUGUCCAAUCUGUUCAUCAUGUGGUCCAAUCUCUGGUGACGUGCCUUCAUUCUGCAUCUUAGAUACAAAUGUAGAGGCUUUUCAUCGAGUUAUAGUACAUAGGACUGUCUGAAAAAUAAAAUUAAUAAAAAGAAACAAAGACUGAUUUUAAGCUUUGUGCUGUCUCAGGAGACGAGAAUUGGUCGAAUAGAACGGAAACAGGUCAGAUUUCGUUUAACUAUAUAACAUAAAAGAGGAAUUAUGGGGCCAUUAGACAGUGAAUGUAUGCGGGGCCUGUGGUUCAGUGAGCCAGUGAGCUAGACAGUUAACCUGAUGGCCCCCAAUGGAUAGGGGACACCCCAAAAAUUGCCUGGUCUAACAAUCUGGAUCUUUCAGUCCGGGAGAUCUGUCUCCUGUCCGUGGUGGGUCCCAUUAGAUCAACACCCUGGACGCUAAUUUGGGAGAUUCUUGGGCAUCUCACUUCCAUUCGGAUAAUGCUUAUUUGUUGUAUUCCCUGGCCUUUCAUAGUGAUGGGAUUGGUUUCUGAAAAUCUUUUUUCAGGAUGUUACAAAUGAAGGACUUUAUCGCCUUUGUGAGUUUGCUCAGAAUUUUGAUCAAGGCACAAAUACAGAGAGCAUUCAGGCAAACCAACUUUAUCCUACACUAAGUUGUUUCAUUCAUAUAUCUAGCAACAUGAGCUUGAAAUGUAGCCUGCUUUGGCUUCAGCUUGUAAUAUUAAACUGAGUCAUGAUAUGAUGCUUGAUUAAAACAAACAAAAAAAAUAUAUAUAUAUUUUGUUUGAUAGUGACUACCUUCAAUGACCUAAGCCAUUGAUUUAGUGGACCUCAUCAUGGGAUGGAAUAUGCCUCGUAUCUACCCUAUCAGAUGAUCCUAGAUAUUCUAUGAAUAUGGCUUACAAUUUUUGGUCCAUAUUUGAAGGAUAUCAUCCAUUAGGAUAUAUUUUUGGGUUCUCGGAAGGGCUCGCCAUAUGAAUGAUUUGGGUCACCAAUAGGUGGGCCCCACAUGAUCAGCUUGUUGGGAAGAGAGAAUGCUCGUCCGUGGAUUGCUUUAAAUGAGAACUCUCUGGACAUGUCUACAAUGAAUGGUCAUAUUAUAGGGAACUCUGUGUAACCACAAUAGCUCUUCUAGUCAGGUUUUCUAAUGCUUCUCUCAAAUUUCUAGACAUUGCCAUCCAGUUCUUUCAGUCCAGCUCUUGAACUUCCACGAAUCAGACCGACGUCCAAGACUGGGUCUUUACUGCCGACUGUGCCAGCAUUGGAAUCACCAUCACCAUCUGCUUCCAAUCAAACAACAAAGGAGCUGCAAGGAAUGUCAAACAUGAUCAACACACCUGAUCCUGCAGCUUCAAAUGGAAGCCAUGUGGCAAAGGAGCCGUACAGCAGCGGGCCUUUGAGCUCCGAACGGUCUGGAUGGAAGUUGCCUGGCCUGAAUGCAUCCUUACUAAUGAGAACCCGCAGCUCUACAAAUGGCUUCAGAUAGAAAUGUAAGUCACUAGUCCUGAGUUUGCGACCACCCAUUGGACUCUCCUCUCUAUAACAGUGCUCAGAUAUACGAUGAGAGCGAGCACUGAUUUUUUAUUUUUUUGUAGAUUCUGUAGUUUUAAAUAUGGAUUGGGAAAAAUAAGAAAUGAAAGGAAAUAAGAAAAGAAAAGAAAAGAAAAUAGAUGGGUUAAGUUCUCUGAGUUCUGUUUUGUUCACACAAUCCAAAUAGUCCAUUAGUUGGGCAUCCACCACCGUUGGAUUUAUAGAUAACCAGUUCUGGUGGUUUUCAAACCAUUGGCCGACCAUGGUGGCUUCCACUUGAUGAACCACUCCGGAUUGUCUGAAUUGUGGCUGCAUGGGGCUGAAUCCGGAAAUAUUUUGGAGCAU